rfam:Stegodyphus mimosarum contig97666, whole genome shotgun sequence.
GCCUUCGUGGUGUUACGGUAGCACACUCGGCGUAUAUUCGAGAAGUUCAGGUUCGAAUCCCAGCGAGGGCA